rnacentral:rRNA from 1 species
AGGGAAUCUUCCGCAAUGGACGAAAGUCUGACGGAGCAACGCCGCGUGAGUGAUGAAGGUUUUCGGAUCGUAAAGCUCUGUUGCCAGGGAAGAACGUCUUGGAGAGUAACUGCUCUAAGAGUGACGGUACCUGAGAAGAAAGCCCCGGCUAACUACGUGCCAGCAGCCGCGGUAAUACGUAGGGGGCGAGCGUUGUCCGGAAUUAUUGGGCGUAAAGCGCGCGCAGGCGGCUGUUUAAGUCUGGUGUUUAAUCCUGGGGCUCAACCCCGGGUCGCACUGGAAACUGGACGGCUUGAGUGCAGAAGAGGAGAGUGGAAUUCCACGUGUAGCGGUGAAAUGCGUAGAGAUGUGGAGGAACACCAGUGGCGAAGGCGACUCUCUGGGCUGUAACUGACGCUGAGGCGCGAAAGCGUGGGGAGCAAAC